rnacentral:lncRNA from 1 species
GACUGACCUGCUCCAGCUGGGACUUAACUGUGAAUGUUUGGGAAUAGAAUCCAGUUGGCCAGGUUUGGAUCAGAUGCCUUUCCCUGAUCCCAUUGCUUUGCCGGGUAGGAAGGCUCUCAUCCCUAUAGAUCAAGGGGCAGUUUCCAGAGGAAAGAGCAGUCGUUGUGAACAGCGCUGAUGCUAGAAGAACAUCCACAGCUCUGGUACGUUGGGACCUUCUCAACAACAGUGUUAGUGUCAGUGGAUGGACUUCAGUGCUCAGUGGGAGACAGCAGCAGGAGCCAGAGGAGGCAGCGGGACUUGCUCAGCAGACGCAAACAUACUCAGAAGGAGGGGAAGUCACAUUCAUCAAACGCUUUUGGGCCCUAAGGCAGCUGAGGUACCUAAAGAACACAGCAUCGUAGCCCAGCAUUCUACAUCAUCUCUGGGAGCUGUUAGUUCCUAUUGAGGAGGGGAGACAAGAAAGGCUUAAAGAUGAGAUGGAUACGAGAAUCAACUGGCCCUGCGCUAACAUCAUGCCCAUCUUCCUCUACUUUAUACGUGGGACACCUACCACAGAAUGGCUUGCCAAACGGUGCCAUGACCGCACCCGGGAUCCGAACUGGUAAACCCCGGGCCACCAAGAAGCAGAACGUGUGAACUUAAGCACUGCGUCACUGGGCCAGCCUGCAGAUUUUAAAUUAUAGCAAAGCCUUGCUCAUUUUAGGAACUGGGAGGGCUUUGCUUAUGGGGCAUGUUUAAAAAAUGUGUUUUACUCUUGAUUUUUCCAGAGUAGAAUCUCUUGUCAAUUAGGAUAUAGGUAUUAAUAAAUAAAAUGAAGCAUUUCAAUAAAAAGUUUAAUCCAUGGAAGGCCAGUUCUAUAUAAAAGUCUCUCAUUAUCAGAAAGAGAAUUCUGCCUAGAGGAAAGAUUGGUAAAUUUUUCUUUCUUUAAAUGUAAAUUUUCUUUCUUUUAUUUUAGUUUCUUUUGCUUAAUGGUGUGGAUCCAAUCACUACUCUAAAAGAAUAGCUUUGCCCAGAAUUCUCAUUUCACUAAAAGUAUUUGAAUACGAUGAUUUUAAUCUGAACUGUUCUUGCUCUAAGAAAUUCCACAGAUGAAAAAAAUGUCACCUCAAAUGCAAUGAGAAAUAUCUAGGCCAUUUCAGAAUUACGAAAUCUGAAUCUGUAAAACCUGGAUUAAUAUAGUUUCACUAUACCUUGCAUCAUUAAAGAUUUGAUUUUAAA